CCUACGGGCGGCAGCAGUGAGGAAUAUUGGUCAAUGGCCGGAAGGCUGAACCAGCCAAGCCGCGUGAAGGACGAAGGUGCUAAGCAUUGUACACUUCUUUUGUCAAGGGACAAUAUCAGGCUCGAGAGCCUGACCGAGGGUACUUGAAGAAAAAGCAACGGCGAACCUCGUGCCAGCAGCCGCGGUAAUACGGAGGAUGCGAGCGUUAUCCGGAUUUAUUGGGUUUAAAGGGUGCGUAGGCGGGCUGUUAAGUCAGCGGUAAAAGCCCGGGGCUCAACCCCGGCGAGCCGUUGAAACUGGCUGUCUUGAGAGGGCGAGAGGUAUGCGGAAUGCGAGGUGUAGCGGUGAAAUGCUUAGAUAUUGCGCAGAACUCCGAUUGCGAAGGCAGCAUACCGGCGGCGAACUGACGCUGAGGCACGAAAGCGUGGGUAUCGAACAGGAUUAGAUACCCGAGUAGUC
rnacentral:rRNA from 1 species